rnacentral:lncRNA from 1 species
GCAUGGGAAUGGGUGCAGGCAUGAAUAUGGGAAUGGGCAUGGGCAUGGGUAUGGGUGGAGGUCCAGGCAUGGGAGGUUAUGGAGGCAUGAACCAACAACCCAUGGGAAUGGGAAUGGGCAUGAACCAACAACCCAUGGGAAUGGGAAUGGGAAUGGGAAUGAACCAACAACCCAUGGGAAUGGGGAUGGGCAUGAACCAACAGCCCAUGGGAAUGGGGAUGGGCAUGAACC